rnacentral:rRNA from 1 species
GACGAACGCUGGCGGUGUGCCUCAAACAUGCAAGUCGAGGGAGGGUUGGCGAGUGGCUUGCCAUUCGUUCAACUCUACCGGCAAACGGGUGAGUAACACGUGGGAAACCUGCCCUGAAGACGGGGACAACUUCGGGAAACCGGGGCUAAUACCCGAUACCCUCCACGGGGGGCAUCCUCUGUGGAGGAAAGGUUCCGCAAGGUUCGCUUCAGGAGGGUCCCGCGGCCUAUCAGCUAGUUGGUGGGGUAACGCCUACCAAGGCAUGACAGGUAGCUGGUCUGAGAGGACGAUCAGCCACACUGGGACUGAGACACGGCCCAGACUCCUACGGGAGGCAGCAGUUGGGAAUAUUGGGGCAAUGGGCGCAAGCCUGACCCAGCGACACCGCGUGGGGAC